rnacentral:rRNA from 1 species
AUUGAACGCUGGCGGAAUGCUUUACACAUGCAAGUCGAACGGUAGAGGGGCAACCCUUGAGAGUGGCGAACGGGUGAGUAAUAUAUCGGAACCUACCCUGUACUGGGGGAUAGCCCGGAGAAAUUCGGAUUAAGACCCCAUAGCACUUAAGAAUGGCAUCAUUCAUAAGUUAAAGGUUACGGUACAGGAUGAGCAUGCGUCCCAUUAGCUAGAUGGUAAGGUAACGGCUUACCAUGGCGACGAUGGGUAGGGGUCCUGAGAGGGAGAUCCCCCACACUGGUACUGAGACACGGACCAGACUCCUACGGGAGGCAGCAGUGAGGAAUAUUGGACAAUGGGCGCAAGCCUGAUCCAGCCAUGCCGCGUGCAGGAUGACGGUCCUAUGGAUUGUAAACUGCUUUUGUACAGGAAGAAACACUCCCUCGUGAGGGAGCUUGACGGUACUGUAAGAAUAAGGAUCGGCUAACUCCGUG